UAAGAUCACAUUUUCUAAAUGAUUGACAGUGAAUUAAUACUAUUUUUAUCUCAACGUGGGAUGAACCCGACAUCUUGGAGAAUCUAAAGCAUGUAAAUCCAUUCCAUGUUGAAUCUGAUUUUAGCAUACUUCAACUGCGUCAACUAUUCCCAACAAAACUUAUGUUGUAUUUCAAUGUUAUAUAAGAGUAAUUUUUCAAUGGAAUUUGAUGGCAUGCCGGGAGUUAGUCAUAAUCAUUUUCCUGGAUCCACUUCUUUCAAGGGUAUGAGAAUGUGUCAAUUGAGCUCAACAUUACCCAGUCAUAAAUCUGAUAACAGUUGUAUUUUAACUCCUUUGACAGAAACUAACUGAUAUCCACAACUCCAACACUCAAAAAUAACUUAGGUCUAAUUUUAUAAUAUUAUUUGGUCAGAUUAUGCGUCAAACUAAAAAGAAGUUUGGAUUAUUGAAAAAAUACUUUAAGAUGGAUGUUUAGUGUAUUAAAAUAGUCGUGUUGGUAGUAUAAUCCACGUUGAUUUUUCUUAAUAUAAUACGAGAGUUUAUAAAGUCUAAAGAUAUAAAAAUCAUAACAUAAAUGUCUUGAUAUGAAAUUG
rnacentral:lncRNA from 1 species